GCCUGUAUGCUGGAAUAGGUAGACAGAGAAAACUUAAGCUUUUCUGAGUAAAUCUCGUGAGUGUUCGAGUCACUCUUCAGGUA
rfam:Ophiocordyceps sinensis CO18 unplaced genomic scaffold OCS_Scf_6463, whole genome shotgun sequence.